rfam:Atta cephalotes unplaced genomic scaffold scaffold00057, whole genome shotgun sequence.
GGCAACGUCCAAAUCACAUUGAAUCUACCAAUUCUCGUCUGAUCACUGAAGUCAAGCAACGUUGAGCAUGGUUAGUACUUGGAUGAGUGACCGCUUGGGAUCACCAUGUGAUGUUGUCC